UUACUUUUUUGUCCAUUUGGCGCUAGUCAUACUUCACUGGCAUCCCCUUAUGCUUUGUUUUAUCGUUAUUUUUAAUAUUACAAUAAAAUUAUUAGGUGACACAAAUUGAAACUCUGAUUUAUUAGAUCAUAUUGAAAUCAGUUUAAACGCUCGUUCACGCUUCUACAUUGAUAAAAUUAGUUAUAUUUUAUUGAUUAAGUAAAAAUGAAAAUCUUGGGUUUACUAAUAUCAUUUGGAUUGAUAAGUGUUUUGGUAGCUGAUGAUCGGAAUGAAUAUUAUAACAUAAUCAAAAAUACAAGUCAGUAAAAAG